GCUGCUUCAGUAUCGGAGGGACUGUGCUGAAUCCUGUGCAAUCAACAAACAUGUCUAUUUCUGACUUUAUCAAGAAGGGAAGGUCAUUUGUGAGGCAGCUGAAUUUUGCAGUAUGAUUAAGUAUAGGAAAGAGGAGAGGGCAUGAAAGAGACAGAAGAGGAACAUGGGGGAUAUGAGGGAGCAUGUGUUCUGCAUUGAGAGAGAAGACUUUAAGAGCUGACCUUUAUUAUUAAAGCUGGACCAAUGUCCCUGAAAACCGAGACUAACCCGCCCCGGCUGUCUUAUGCCUGUCUUCAAUUUGCCUCUGCCUCCCCCAGAUAUACAACGUUACAGACGAUUUCUGAAUAAGGGGUGGAGCACACCAUUGGAAAAAGAUUAAUGAGUGCAUCACAAACACAAGUGCCAUGAUACGUCUUGUAUUUGGAUUGAUACCUUUCGAUCUCCAUAGAGAAAUUUACAACUGCUUCAAGAAUCAAACAUAGCAGGCAACAGAGUAUAUGUUGCCCCUGACCAACGGCUUGCCUAUUCAGUCUUCUACUUAGGAGGAAGGAACUUCUCAUUUUUGCUCUUCAGAAACACAAUGAAGUGCAGCAAACUACUCUCUUGCUCUUGGCUGGCAGCAAAUUACAUGUUGGCAUGUGUCAAGAGGUCUUGUCUCAACAUUCCUCCUCACUCUAGGCUGCAGAACUAACAUUACCUUUCUCCUGCUGCAAUACCAGCACUCUAUUGCGUAAUUUUGUGCAAGACAGAGCAGACCAUUAACAUUCAAGAAAUAUUUGCCAGUGCACGUGGAACAACACACUGGAUCAGUUCAAAGUUGCAUCUUCAGCAAACCAAUGCCUUUCUCAAUGAUUGAUCUUGUGCUGUCAUGGCUCCAGUGAUAACUUGCUUCUGCAGCUAUUGUGGGGCCCCCACUGCCUCAUCCUCAUGAUAUGCUUUGUCACCGAGAGACACCCGGUGAUUCUGGUUGGAAAUGUGAAGCUGUCGUCAAAUCAUAGACUCUCUACAGAUAGAGGCCAUUCAACCCAUUGAUCAUGCACCAACCUUGUGAAAAGCAACACAUCCAUAUUUACUGAAGAAUGGUCCAGACCUGAAAUGUCAGCUUUCCUGCUCCUCUGAUGCUGCCUGGCCUGCUGAGUUCAUCCAGUUCCACACCUUGUUAUCACGUCCAUAUUUACCAUGGCUAAACCACCUAACCUGCAUAUCCCUGGACUAUGGGAGUAGAUACACAUGCAGACAUGGGGAGAAUCUGCAAACUCCACACAGACAGUCACCCGAGGCUAGAAUUGAACCAGGUUCCCUGGUGCUCUGAGGCAGCAGAACUGACCACUGUACCACCCUUGCCAUGUCUGGGGGAUGUAAUAGGCUAUUACAAAUAUACAGAAUAAAUGAAAAAAUUCCAGUUGUUAGAACUGUACAAAAUUAGCAUUUCCAGCAAUUUUCUGAUUUCAUUUCAUAUUUCCAGUAUCAGCACUAUUGCUUUUCUAUCUAUUUAAGUCCUUGCUCUUGGAGCACAACCUGUUCCAGAGUGCUUCUUGCAUGUGGAGGUCACUGAAGCUGACUUUGAAUGUGGAACCUGCAACUGAAAAGGGAAGAUUGGGGCAGAGUUAAAACAUCAGUUUUUGCCUGGCCAUCACACCUCAUUCACUGGGCUCAGUAAAAUAUUUUCCAGUCAAAGCUAUAGGCACAACCUCUUAAAUAUGCAGAAAUAGUAAGUAUUUGGCCUCAAUAAAAAGAGUCAAGAUUUACUAAAAGCCAAAUAAAAGCACUCAGACACAGAGGGUUUCAUUUUUGUUUCAGUGCUUGUACAAUGGCAUUGGGACAAAACAGAUCAUAUAUCCAAAUUUCAUUUCCAUUUCAUUUAAUGGUCCUUUUCAUGCCAUUCUUGCAUAAGCUGUGAAGUUGAAAAUUUCCACAAAGGAGAAAAUGACCCACAAAGAAGGAGUAAGAUACAGAAAGAAUGUCUGAUAUCUGGAGAAACAGAAGUUCUGUUAUCAGGGCAAGAUGAAGGAAAAAUGCACAUGAGGAGAGAUAACUGAGGCAGAAGGGAAAAGUGGUGAAGAGAGAAUCAAAAGGACAUUCAGUAACAGUAAGUGCUGUACUACAAUAAUAAACAGAGAAACUGGAAAAUAGUGCACAAAGUGCUAGAGAAAGUUGAACCACAAACACAUAUAUAACAAUAACAUAUUUGUAUGGUAAACCUUGUAUUAUUCUGUAAAUCUCUGUCAACUAGAAUUCUUUUGUAAACAGGAUUUCUUGCAGUUCAAUUUAUUAAUAAAAGAUGACCAUUUUCAAUGUUCAAAUAAUGCAAUCUAUAAAAAAUACUAAUCAUAACUCUAACCUGCACAUCUGCAGAAAUUGUCCUUAGCUUUUUGAUU